rnacentral:misc_RNA from 1 species
GAUGAAGAACGCAGCGAAAUGCGAUAAGUAAUGUGAAUUGCAGAAUUCUGUGAAUCAUCGAAUCUUUGAACGCACAUUGCGCCCGCUAGUAUUCUGGCGGGCAUGCCUGUCCGAGCGUCAUUUCAACCCUCAAGCCCCCGGGCUUGGUGUUGGGGAUCGGCGAGCCUCCGCGCCCGCCGUCCCCUAAAUCUAGUGGCGGUCUCGCUGUAGCUUCCUCUGCGUAGUAGCACACCUCGCACUGGGAAACAGCGCGGCCACGCCGUUAAACCCCCAACUUCUGAACGUUUGACCUCGGAUCAGGUAGGAAUACCCGCUGAACUUAAGCAUAUCAAUAAGCGGAGGA